rnacentral:lncRNA from 1 species
GGAUCUGAUCAAACCCUAGCACUUCCAAGCCAAACAAACCCCGAUCUCCGUCUCCGACUAUGGCUCCCAAACGCCCCUCGCCUUUGGAUGAGCCUCCGGCAGCGUCUUCCUCCGAAGAAGAAGAAACCUCAUCGGGCGAGGAAGAGGAAGGAGUUUCCAGAGACGGAUCUUCCUCUGAAGAAGAAGAAGAGGAUGAAGAAGAAACUCAAACUCAGACUCAGAAACCAAAGAAACCUUCUGCUCUUCCUUCUACUUCUGUUGUCGAGAAAAAACCUGCACCUAAGAAAUCUGAACCUUCUACUAACUCUCAGGCUCAGUUUUCUUCCUCAGAGAGCGGCUCCGGAUCCGACACCGAUUCGGAUACUGAGUCCGGACGAAACGUCAAGCCGAUUGCUUCUAAGCCGAUGGAUGAGACUCCGAAGGUGAAAAAGCCCAGAUCCAAGCCUUCUGCCUCAGUUACGCCUGCGAGACCGUCUUUGAAGAAGCCUG